ACGAACGCUGGCGGCUGCUUAACACAUGCAAGUCGAACGGAGUGGCGAACGGGUGAGUAACGCGUGAGCAACCUGCCUAUGACAGUUGGAUAGCCUCGGGAAACCGGGAUUAAUACCGCAUAGUCAUAGAUGGGCUCGCGUCUGAUUAGCUAGUUGGUGAGAUAACAGCCCACCACGGGGACGAUCAGUAGCCGGCCUGAGAGGCUGAACGGCCACAUUGGAACUGGGAAACGGUCCAAAAUCCUACGGGAGGGAGCAGUGGGGAAUAGUGCACAAUGGGGGAAACCCUGAUGCAGCGACGCCGCGUGAACGAAGAAGGUAUUCGUAUCGUAAAGUUCUGUCCUAUGGGAAGCGGUACCAUAAGAGAAAGCUCCGGCUAAAUACGUGCCAGCAGCCGCGGUAAUAC
rnacentral:rRNA from 1 species